rnacentral:rRNA from 1 species
AGUGAACGCUGGCGGUAGGCCUAACACAUGCAAGUCGAACGGCAGCACAGUAAGAGCUUGCUCUUACGGGUGGCGAGUGGCGGACGGGUGAGGAAUACAUCGGAAUCUACUUUUUCGUGGGGGAUAACGUAGGGAAACUUACGCUAAUACCGCAUACGACCUACGGGUGAAAGCAGGGGAUCUUCGGACCUUGCGCGAUUGAAUGAGCCGAUGUCGGAUUAGCUAGUUGGCGGGGUAAAGGCCCACCAAGGCGACGAUCCGUAGCUGGUCUGAGAGGAUGAUCAGCCACAUUGGAACUGAGACACGGUCCAGACUCCUACGGGAGGCAGCAGUGUGGAAUAUUGGACAAUGGGCGCAAGCCUUAUCCAGCCAUACCGCGUGGGUGAAGAAGGCCUUCGGGUUGUAAAGCCCUUUUGUUGGGAAAGAAAAGCAGCAGGUUAAUACCCCGCUGUUCUGACGGUACCCAAAGAAUAAGCACCGGCUAACUUCGUG